rnacentral:rRNA from 1 species
AUUGAACGCUGGCGGCAGGCUUAACACAUGCAAGUCGAGCGGGGGAAGGUAGCUUGCUACCGGACCUAGCGGCGGACGGGUGAGUAAUGCUUAGGAAUCUGCCUAUUAGUGGGGGACAACAUCUCGAAAGGGAUGCUAAUACCCCAUACGUCCUACGGGAGAAAGCAGGGGAUCUUCGGACCUUGCGCUAAUAGAUGAGCCUAAGUCGGAUUAGCUAGUUGGUGGGGUAAAGGCCUACCAAGGCGACGAUCUGUAGCGGGUCUGAGAGGAUGAUCCGCCACACUGGGACUGAGACACGGCCCAGACUCCUACGGGAGGCAGCAGUGGGGAAUAUUGGACAAUGGGGGGAACCCUGAUCCAGCCAUGCCGCGUGUGUGAAGAAGGCCUUAUGGUUGUAAAGCACUUUAAGCGAGGAGGAGGCUACUUUAGUUAAUACCUAGAGAUAGUGGACGUUACUCGCAGAAUAAGCACCGGCUAACUCUGUGCCAGCAGCCGCGGUAAUACAGAGGGUGCGAGCGUUAAUCGGAUUUACUGGGCGUAAAGCGUGCGUAGGCGGCUUAUUAAGUCGGAUGUGAAAUCCCCGAGCUUAACUUGGGAAUUGCAUUCGAUACUGGUGAGCUAGAGUAUGGGAGAGGAUGGUAGAAUUCCAGGUGUAGCGGUGAAAUGCGUAGA